rnacentral:rRNA from 1 species
GACGAACGCUGGCGGCGUGCCUAAUACAUGCAAGUAGAACGCUGAAGGAGGAGCUUGCUUCUCCGGAUGAGUUGCGAACGGGUGAGUAACGCGUAGGUAACCUGCCUGGUAGCGGGGGAUAACUAUUGGAAACGAUAGCUAAUACCGCAUAAGAGUAGAUGUUGCAUGACAUUUGCUUAAAAGGUGCAAUUGCAUCACUACCAGAUGGACCUGCGUUGUAUUAGCUAGUUGGUGGGGUAACGGCUCACCAAGGCGACGAUACAUAGCCGACCUGAGAGGGUGAUCGGCCACACUGGGACUGAGACACGGCCCAGACUCCUACGGGAGGCAGCAGUAGGGAAUCUUCGGCAAUGGACGGAAGUCUGACCGAGCAACGCCGCGUGAGUGAAGAAGGUUUUCGGAUCGUAAAGCUCUGUUGUAAGAGAAGAACGAGUGUGAGAGUGGAAAGUUCACACUGUGACGGUAUCUUACCAGAAAGGGACGGCUAACUACGUGC